rnacentral:rRNA from 1 species
UACGUAGGUGGCAAGCGUUGUCCGGAAUUAUUGGGCGUAAAGCGCGCGCAGGCGGUCCUUUAAGUCUGAUGUGAAAUCUUGCGGCUCAACCGCAAGCGGUCAUUGGAAACUGGGGGGACUUAGUGCAGAAGAGGAAAGCGGAAUUCCACGUGUAGCGGUGAAAUGCGUAGAGAUGUGGAGGAACACCAGUGGCGAAGGCGGCUUUCUGGUCUGUAACUGACGCUGAGGCGCGAAAAGCGUGGGGGAGCAAAACAGGAUUAGAUACCCCGGUGUCAU